rnacentral:rRNA from 1 species
GACGAACUCUGGCGGCGUGCCUAAUACAUGCAAGUCGAGCGGACCGGAUUGGGGCUUGCCUUGAUUCGGUCAGCGGCGGACGGGUGAGUAACACGUGGGCAACCUGCCCGCAAGACCGGGAUAACUCCGGGAAACCGGAGCUAAUACCGGAUAACACCGAAGACCGCAUGGUCUUCGGUUGAAAGGCGGCCUUUGGGCUGUCACUUGCGGAUGGGCCCGCGGCGCAUUAGCUAGUUGGUGAGGUAACGGCUCACCAAGGCGACGAUGCGUAGCCGGCCUGAGAGGGUGACCGGCCACACUGGGACUGAGACACGGCCCAGACUCCACCGGGAGGCAGCCGUAGGGAAUCUUCCGCAAUGGGCGAAAGCCUGACGUAGCGACGCCGCGUGAGCGAAGAAGGCCUUCGGGUCGUAAAGCUCUGUUGUGAGGGACGAAGGAGCGCCGUUCGAAGAGGGCGGCGCGGUGACGGUACCUCACGAGAAAGCCCCGGCUAACUACGUGCCAGCCGCCGCAGUAA